UGAGGUCGAAUGAUGAGCAAUUGCAUAGUUCAAAUGAUUACACUUGUAACUUCUAUGAUUACAUUUGAAGUCUUUCGCUCCUAACUGACGGCCUUA
rfam:Oryza brachyantha chromosome 8, whole genome shotgun sequence.